rnacentral:rRNA from 1 species
UGGGGAAUAUUGGGCAAUGGGGGAAACCCUGACCCAGCAACGCCGCGUGAGGGAAGAAGGUCUUCGGAUUGUAAACCUUUGUCCUAUGGGACGAAAGAAAUGACGGUACCAUAGAGGAAGCUCCGGCUAACUACGUGCCAGCAGCCGCGGUAAUACGUAGGGAGCAAGCGUUGUCCGGAAUUACUGGGCGUAAAGGGUGCGUAGGUGGUCAAGUAAGUCAGAUGUGAAAGACCGGGGCUCAACCCCGGGGUUGCAUUUGAAACUGUUUGACUUGAGUACAGGAGAGGGAAGUGGAAUUCCUAGUGUAGCGGUGAAAUGCGUAGAUAUUAGGAGGAACACCAGUGUCGAAGGCGACUUUCUGGACUGUAACUGACACUGAGGCACGAAAGCGUGGGGAGCAAACAGGAUUAGAUACC